UACCAGCACCCCGAGUGGUCGGGACGUUUUAUUGGGCCUAAAGCAUCCGUAGCCGGUUCUACGAGUCUUCCGUUAAAUCCAACUGACUUGAACAGGUGGGCUGCGGAAGAUACUAUAGAGCUAGGAGGCGGGAGAGGCAAGCGGUACUCGAUGGGUAGGGGUAAAAUCCGUUGAUCCAUUGAAGACCACCAGUGGCGAAGGCGGCUGCCAGAACGCGCUCGACGGUGAGGGAUGAAAGCUGGGGGAGCAAACCGG
rnacentral:rRNA from 1 species